CACAGGCAAGAAUCGUGACAAAUCUGUUCCUCAUUACUGUGGUCAGCUUUGACUAUCGCAUCUAAAUUCUGUUCUGGGACCUGUUAACCAGG
rnacentral:lncRNA from 12 species